CCUCGUGGUGGAACAUCGGACCCAUUCAAGAGGAAGGAUGAAAGCUCUAUAUAGGAACACGAUGUGAAUGGAAGAAACCUGUCAUUAUCUCCAAGAAAUUGGACAUGAGGAAACCACUCUAAGUGUGACCACUCUAAAGCAUUAGCAAUCAGUCAUUUCACUCUAGGGAGAAAUCAGAGCUGAAAUAUAGAGGAUAGGCUCUCUAGGAAACACCAGAAUUAUCAGUGAAGAAUAUAUUAAAUGGCUCACGGGCUACUGUAAAGCAUAUUUCUAUGGCUUGAGAGUAAAACUCCUAGAACCAGUUCCUGUUUCUGUAACAAGAUGUUCCUUUAGAGUCAAUGAGAACACACACAACCUACAAAUUCAUGCAGGGGACAUCCUGAAGUUCUUGAAAAAGAAGAAACCUGAAGAUGCCUUCUGUGUUGUGGGAAUAACAAUGAUUGAUCUUUACCCAAGAGACUCGUGGAAUUUUGUCUUUGGACAGGCCUCUUUGACAGAUGGUGUGGGGAUAUUCAGCUUUGCCAGGUAUGGCAGUGAUUUUUAUAGCAUGCACUAUAAAGGCAAAGUGAAGAAGCUCAAGAAAACAUCUUCAAGUGACUAUUCAAUUUUCGACAACUAUUAUAUUCCAGAAAUAACUAGUGUUUUACUACUUCGAUCCUGUAAGACUUUAACCCAUGAGAUCGGACACAUAUUUGGACUGCGACACUGCCAGUGGCUUGCAUGCCUCAUGCAAGGCUCCAACCACUUGGAAGAAGCUGACCGGCGCCCUCUAAACCUUUGCC
rnacentral:lncRNA from 1 species